rnacentral:rRNA from 1 species
AUGAACGAGGCUCACAAUUCUCUCCUUUCCAUCCACCCUGGGAGCACGAAGAUGUAUCAGGACCUUAAGCAAGCUUAUUGGUGGACUCGAAUGAAGUGCGAGAUUGCUCAAUUCGUGAAUGAAUGUGAUGUCUGCAGAAGAGUGAAGGCAGAACACCAAAGGCCAGCUGGUCUCCUCCAACCUCUUGCCAUUCCAGAAUGGAAGUUUGACCACAUUGAAAUGGACUUCAUGACUGGGUUUCCAAAGUCCAAGCGUGGCAAUGAUGCUAUAUUCGUUAUCAUCGACAAACUCACUAAAGUGGCUCACUUUCUGCCUAUCAAAGAGUCGAUCACUGCAGCUCAAUUGGCGGAACUCUACACCUAUCGUAUUGUCUCUCUGCACGGUAUUCCACAAGUGAUCUCUUCAGACCGUGGCAGCAUCUUUACCUCGAAGUUUUGGGAUUCUUUUCAGAAGGCCAUGGGCACCAACAUCCGCUUCAGCACAGCUUUCCAUCCUCAAACUAGCGGUCAAGUCGAGCUUGUCAACCAGAUUCUUGAAGAUAUGCUCAGGGCUUGUGUGAUCUCCUUCGGCAUGAAGUGGGAGGAUUGUCUUCCUUAUGCUGAAUUCUCCUACAACAACAGUUUUCAAGCAAGUUCGGGGAAGGCCCCAUUUGAAAUUCUGUAUGGCAGGAAGUGUCGUACCCCUCUCAACUGGUCUGAAACCGGUGAACGUCAGCUUUUGGGUAAUGACUUAAUCACAGAGGCAGAGAAAAUGUGCAAAGUCAUUCGUGAUAACCUCAAAGCAGCCCAAUCCCGCCAGAAGAGCUACUAUGAUAGUAAGCACUGUGAUUUGGCUUUCGAGAUCAGAGAUCAUAUUUACCUCGGCGUCUCUCCUAUGAAAGGUACUCGUCGCUUCAGUAUCAAAGGGAAGCUUGCCCCUAGAUACGCGGGACCUUUCAAGAUUGUCAGCAAGAGAGGCGACCUCGCCUAUCAACUCGAGCUUCCUUCAAACUUUGCAAAUGUUCAUGACGUGUUCCAUGUCUCUCAGCUUCGAAAAUGCUUCAAGACUCCUGACCGCACCAUC